rnacentral:rRNA from 1 species
GACGAACGCUGGCGGCGUGCUUAACACAUGCAAGUCGAACGAAGUGGCGAACGGGUGAGUAACGCGUAAUCAACCUGCCCUUCAGAGGGGGACAACAGUUGGAAACGACUGCUAAUACCGCAUACUGAAGGAGUGGUUUGCGUCUGAUUAGCUAGGUGGGUGGGUAACGGCCAACCAAGGCGAUGAUAAGUAGCCGGUCUGAGAGGAUGAACGGCCACAUUGGGACUGAGACACGGCCCAGACUCCUACGGGAGGCAGCAGUGGGGAAUCUUCCGCAAUGGGCGAAAGUCUGACGGAGCAACGCCGCGUGAGUGAUGACGGCCUUCGGGUUGUAAAGCUCUGUUAAUCGGGACGCGGUACCGGAAUAGAAAGCCACGGCUAACUACGUGCCAGCAGCCGCGGUAAUUC